GAUACGGCCCAGACUCCUACGGGAGGCAGCAGUGGGGAAUAUUGCACAAUGGGCGCAAGCCUGAUGCAGCGACGCCGCGUGGGGGAUGACGGCCUUCGGGUUGUAAACUCCUUUCGCUAGGGACGAAGCUUUUUGUGACGGUACCUAGAUAAGAAGCACCGGCUAACUACGUGCCAGCAGCCGCGGUAAUACGUAGGGUGCGAGCGUUGUCCGGAAUUACUGGGCGUAAAGGGCUCGUAGGUGGUUUGUCGCGUCGUCUGUGAAAUUCCGGGGCUUAACUCCGGGCGUGCAGGCGAUACGGGCAUAACUUGAGUACUGUAGGGGUAACUGGAAUUCCUGGUGUAGCGGUGAAAUGCGCAGAUAUCAGGAGGACACCGAUGGCGAAGGCAGGUUACUGGGCAGUUACUGAC
rnacentral:rRNA from 1 species